rnacentral:rRNA from 1 species
AUUGAACGCUGGCGGCAUGCCUAACACCUGCAAGUCGUACGAGUGGCGGACGGGUGAGCAAUGUCUGGGAAACUGCCCGAUGGAGGGGGAUAACUACUGGAAACGGUAGCUAAUACCGCAUACCAUCGGAUGUGCCCAGAUGGGAUUAGCUUGUAGGGGAGGUAACGGCUCACCAUGGCGACGAUCCCUAGCUGGUCUGUGAGGAUGACCAGCCACACGGGAAAUGAUACACGGCACAGACUCCUACGGGAGGCAGGAGUGGGGAAUAUUGCACAAUGGGCGCAAGCCUGAUUCAGCCAUGCCGUGUGUAUGAAGAAGGACUUCGGGUUGUAAAGCACUUUCAGUGGGGAGGCGUUACCCGCAGAAGAAGCACCGGCUAACUCCGUGACAGCGGCCGCGGUAAUAC